rnacentral:rRNA from 1 species
UGGCUCAGAAUGAACGCUGGCGGCGUGCCUAACACAUGCAAGUCGAACGAGAAAGUCCGUAAGGAUGAGUACAGUGGCGUCCGGGUGAGUAACACGUGGAAAUCUGCCCUUUGGUGAAGAAUACCCUCGAGAAAUCGAGGUUAAUACUGCAUAAGCCGGAAACGGGAAAGGUGGCCUCUUUGCUACCGCCGAAGGAUGAGUCUGCGGCCUAUUAGCUAGUUGGUAGGGUAAUGGCCUACCAAGGCGAAGAUGGGUAGCCGGCCUGAGAGGGUGUACGGCCACAAUGGAACUGAAACACGGUCCAUACUCCUACGGGAGGCAGCAGUGGGGAAUAUUGCACAAUGGGCGCAAGCCUGAUGCAGCGACGCCGCGUGGAGGAAGAAGGUUUUCGGAUUGUAAACUCCUGUUAAGUGGGAAAAAAUCCUGGCGGAUAAUACCCGACUGGGUAUGAUGGUACCACUAGAGAAAGUACCGGCAAACUUCGUGCCAGCAGCCGCGGUAAUACGAAGGGUACGAGCGUUAUUCGGAGUUACUGGGCGUAAAGAGCGUGUAGGCGGCUUGUUAAGUUGGUUGUUAAAUUCCCCGGCUCAACCGGGGGCUCGCAACCGAAACUGGCAGGCUAGAGUGCAAGAGAGAGAAGUAGAAUUCCCGGAGUAGCGGUAAAAUGCGUAGAUCUCGGGAGGAAUACCGAUGGCGAAGGCAGCUUCUUGGCUUGUAACUGACGCUAAAGCGCGAAAGCGUGGGGAGCAAACAGGAUUAGAUACCCUGGUAGUCCACGCCGUAAACGAUGAUCACUGGACGUGGGUUUGGCGAAGCCAAAUCCGUGUCGAAGCUAACGCGUUAAGUGAUCCGCCUGGGAAGUACGGUCGCAAGAUUAAAACUCAAAGGAAUUGACGGGGGUCCGCACAAGCGGUGGAACAUGUGGUUUAAUUCGACACUACGCGAGGAACCUUACCUGGGCUUGACAUGUAACUGCUACUGGUGGAAACACUGGGUUCGGUAGAAAUACCGACGGUUACACAGGUGCUGCAUGGCUGUCGUCAGCUCGUGUCGUGAGAUGUUGGGUUAAGUCCUUUAACGAGCGCAACCCCUACCGUUAGUUGCUACAUUAAGUUGAGCACUCUAAUGGGACCGCCUCGGAAACGGGGAGGAAGGUGGGGAUGACGUCAAGUCCUCAUGGCCCUUAUGUCCAGGGCUACACACGUGUUACAAUGGCGAGUACAAAGGGAAGCAAAGCCGCGAGGUGGAGCAAAUCUCACAAAGCUCGUCUAAGUUGGGAUCGAGGUCUGCAACCCGACUUCGUGAACCUGAAAUCGCUAGUAAUCGCGUAUCAGAACGGCGCGGUGAAUGCGUUCUCGGACCUUGUACACACCGCCCGUCACACCACGAAAGCUGUUCGCACCCGAAAUUGCCUUAGCUAACCUGUAAGGGAGGCGGGUAAUGAAGGUGAAGAGAGUGAUUGGGGUGAAGUCGGAACAAGGUA